UAUAAAUUUUUAAAAAACUAAAGAGAUUUUUUAAGUAAAGUUGGUUUCCUAUUUAAAAUUAAAGAAUAAAAAAUACAAGUGGAACAAAAUAGCACAAAGAGGCAAGAACCAAUUAACAAAUCAUGCGCAGUGUGCGCGAAUGGGCCGGUCCACCCCGCGGUACAUGUCAGCGCCUUUCACCCCUCCAAAAAAAAAACAGCGCCCUUUCCCUUUCACCGCUAUCUCGCCAUCGCUCCCCGCACCCGGCGAGUUGCAACUCCACCAUUCUCACCGGAAGACGGAAGUGCCUGUGCCUCCUCCUCCUAGCACGCUGCCGUGCUCGCUCCGUUCCACGCGCACGCUGGCAUCUAUUCCUCUGACGCAAUGCCGGCCUUUUCUGCCCAGCGCCGGCCGCCUCGGCAGCAGCGCGCCCAGGCCGUUCGGCGGAAUGCCGACCCCGGUGUCUUUUCUUGGACCGCGACAGUUGCCGUCGAGAAGCCGGAUAGGCUCGUAGACCACGCUCGGAAGCAUUCUGAUGCGUAUGUGUAUACGCCGAAGUGGCGAGCUACGGUUUGCGGCCCGUGGUUUCUUGGCCACGUGCCCACGUGAAUCCUUCGGCAUGGAAAAGGCAUCUUUUGAAAAAGAAACAGUUGGUGAAGAUUUGCAGAAUAUACAGCUGACGAGAUAGUACACGGGCGAUCAUUUCUGUAAGGCGAUUGCAAUCGAGAGCGAUCAUCGGCGUCUCAAUCAGGGUGUGGACAAGACCAUUUGAGUGGAGGACAAGAAGAAGUGCAAUUUUGUUCCUUAAUGGACGGGGUGGAUGGUUGACCUGCUGGGUGAUCACAUGUUCUCUCUUCCAUCCUCUUGAUUUACUCGCCCUUAUCACCUUAUCACGCGAGCUUUGCCUGAUGGUUACGUUUGCUGUUGUUUUCCAUUCCCCACUGGCGCACUGUUGUGCACCAUGGAAUGUGUCUGUCGUCUUAAUUCGGAACUUGGUAGCGUGUGAGCUCUGGCACUGGCACUGGCAGGCCGGCUGGUUGAUCGCUUUCCUCUGAUGCUGAUCAGCUUGUGGUUGUGGGAACGCCUGUGCUGUGUGGACAUGGUCCUUUGGAACCUAACCAUGCAUUAGGUAUAGUUUAAAUACUUUAUUAGUUGAAUAAUUAGUGUUCAGAAUCACAUUUCUUUUGGGAACACUGUGCCAUUAUUAUUUUGUAUAGUAGAUGAUAAUGAUGUGCUGAUGUAGUGAUGUUAGCUACAAUGCAUCAUUGUUAUUAUUUUAGAUGCUGCACUCUAUCAUUGAGCAGUGUACAGAUUGUCAAUGAUUUUUCCUCUCUGAUUGAGAAAAAUAUAUGGCAAGUGGCUGACACUCUACAUA